UCUGGUGCCCAUAGCAGGGUGGAACCACCCCUUCCCAUCCCGAACAGGCCCGUGAAACACCCCCGCGCCAAUGAUAUUGCGGACUACCCGUGAGAAAGUAGGUCAGCGCCAGAC
rnacentral:rRNA from 1 species